rnacentral:rRNA from 1 species
AUAUCAUUAGCGGGAGGAAAAGAAAUCAACUGAGAUUCCAGUAGUAACGGCGAGCGAAACUGGAAAAGCCCACGCUGAAGCUGGCUAGAUUUAAUUCUGGUCUGCAAUGUAGCAAAUCCAUCGCGUCCUCCUGAGGGGGUUGCCAGCGAAGUGACCUGGAACGGUCUACCAAGGAAGGUGACAGUCCUGUAGCUGGUGGCCUCUAAGGGCAUGGCGUGAAUGGUUGAGUCGUGCUGUUUGGGAGUACAGCACUAAUCCGGUGGUGUGUUCCAUCGAAGGCUAAAUACUUGUCGUGAGACCGAUAGCGCACAAGUA